AGUGGGAUAACUGGGUCAAAUGGUGGUUCCAUUCCAAAUUUUCUGAGGAAUCACCACACUGCUAUCCAAAGUGGUUGUACCAAUUUGCAGUCCCACCAGCAAU
rnacentral:pre_miRNA from 1 species